rnacentral:rRNA from 1 species
GAGCGAUGAACCAGGGCUUGCCCUGGGAAUUAGUGGCGAACGGGUGAGUAACACGUGGGCAACCUGCCCCAGACACCGGGAUAACCAUCCGAAAGGAUGGCUAAUACCGGAUAUGACCACUUUGGGCAUCCAACGGUGGUGGAAAGGAUUCUGGUCUGGGAUGGGCCCGCGGCCUAUCAGCUAGUUGGUGGGGUAAUGGCCUACCAAGGCGACGACGGGUAGCCGGCCUGAGAGGGCGACCGGCCACACUGGGACUGAGACACGGCCCAGACUCCUACGGGAGGCAGCAGUGGGGAAUUUUGGACAAUGGGCGCAAGCCUGAUCCAGCCAUGCCGCGUGCGGGAAGAAGGCCUUCGGGUUGUAAACCGCUUUUGUCAGGGAAGAAACGGCUCGGGCUAAUACCUCGGGCUAAUGACGGUACCUGAAGAAUAAGCACCGGCUAACUACGUGCCAGCAGCCGCGGUAAUACGUAGGGUGCAAGCGUUAAUCGGAAUUACUGGGCGUAAAGCGUGCGCAGGCGGUUAUGCAAGACAGAUGUGAAAUCCCCGGGCUCAACCUGGGAACUGCAUUUGUGACUGCAUGACUUGAGUACGGUAGAGGGGGAUGGAAUUCCGCGUGUAGCAGUGAAAUGCGUAGAUAUGCGGAGGAACACCGAUGGCGAAGGCAAUCCCCUGGACCUGUACUGGCGCUCAUGCACGAAAGCGUGGGGAGCGAACAGGAUUAGAUACCCUGGUAGUCCACGCCGUAAACGGUGGGUACUAGGUGUGGGUUUCCUUCCUUGGGAUCCGUGCCGUAGCUAACGCAUUAAGUACCCCGCCUGGGGAGUACGGCCGCAAGGCUAAAACUCAAAGAGAUUGACGGGGGCCCGCACAAGCGGCGGAGCAUGUGGAUUAAUUCGAUGCAACGCGAAGAACCUUACCUGGGCUUGACAUGGAGACUAAUCCGGCAGAGAUGUCGGGUCCUUCGGGGGUCUCACACAGGUGGUGCAUGGCUGUCGUCAGCCCGUGUCGUGAGAUGUUGGGUUAAGUCCCGCAACGAGCGCAACCCUCGUCCUAUGUUGCCAGCGGAUAAUGCCGGGGACUCAUAGGAGACUGCCGGGGUCAACUCGGAGGAAGGUGGGGACGACGUCAAGUCAUCAUGCCCCUUAUGUCCAGGGCUGCACGCAUGCUACAAUGGCCGGUACAGAGGGCUGCAAUACCGCAAGGUGGAGCUAAUCCCACAAAGCCG